rnacentral:rRNA from 1 species
ACGGGGGGUGCAAGCGUUGUUCGGAAUCAUUGGGCGUAAAGCGCGCGCAGGCGGCUUGGUAAGUCAGAUGUGAAAUCCCUGGGCUUAACCCAGGAAGUGCAUUGGAUACUGCCUCGCUAGAGUACGGGAGAGGAAGGUGGAAUUCCUGGUGUAGAGGUGAAAUUCGUAGAUAUCAGGAGGAAUACCGGUGGCGAAGGCGACCUUCUGGACCAAUACUGACGCUGAGACGCGAAAGCGUGGGGAGCAAACAG